rnacentral:misc_RNA from 1 species
CUCCAGUUACAUUCACAAUAUUAUUGAGCUAUAUAGAAUAAAAUGGGUUGGUCUGCCGGCAUUUUUUACCCACUUGGCCUAUAAGUUGUCAGAACCUCCCUGCAGACCUUUAUUGUGUAGCCCACAACAACUUGAGGGCUACCGACGUCGACUUCAUGGAUUCUGGGAUUGUGUAUUGAGUACCCUGACGCUGAGGUCCUCAUUGGCUAGAGCUGGAUUAUAUUCUGAAAUUCAUAGGAUACGCCGCUUGGCACCAUCGGAUGUGAGAUGCUUUGAAAUCAGUACUGUCAAGUACUCGUCUUAAAUGUGAUUGGAGAGAGUCAAUUUCACAACAUGGACAUCCAGUCCUCAAAAAGGUUUUAAGGCACAUCCCUGUUGAAGAUAAAAUCAACAAAAAGGUUCAGGAGAAUGAAGGCGCAUGCGCACGAGAGUAUGGGUUGUAAAAACCUGAUGCUGGUAGCUUGUCUAUUUUUGCAAGACAAAUAAGCGAACAUGGAAAGCAAAAGCUUAAGGUGAAUAUUUGUUUUUUUCUAUUUUUGUUUGUUUCACUGAUUUUUAUACCAGAAUUAUUGCUCUGUAUAAAGGAGGAUGAAUGUCAAUAAGAGGAGGAAGAACCUUUUAACAAACUUUCAGAAUUGGAUCUUCUGAGCUCAAAGUAUCUCAAAGACAUUACAGUUGUCCUGGAAAACUUGCUAUGUUGUGACCAUCUUAUGACACAUGAAUUGUGGGAAUGAUAAGGGUAAUAAAUUUUUAUGGCACUCUCUUAGCAUUUAGUUUAUGUUAGGAUUAAUCAGCCUCUUCACUUUUGCUUGUUGUAGUUGCUUGGCCC